UAAUUAUUAGCUAAUUGGCUGGGAUGUAUCUCAUUUGUAACAAAUGAGGAGAGGAAGGCUCUGAGGCUGUGGCUGGUGGAGGCGGAGCUGUUUAACUCCUGGUUGAGCUGGCAUAAGAAGUUGCUAUCCUGGUCUCUGGGAGGGGGCUCUGUGGUGUGGUGAUGCCUUAUCGAGGUGUGUGUCCACAAGGAUUGGUGGGUGUCACCUGCAGGCUGUCACCCACCAGCCUUUCUUGCUCAUGGACCAGGCUUUUGGAGAUUGCCUGCCACGGUGCUUCAUGGGCUGAUGCCCUCAGCAAGACAGCAGUCAGGUUACUUGCACUUCUCAAACCCAGGCCAGGAGUUUGGUACAAAGUCAAACAGUGGAAUUUACUGCUGGGGGUGUGUGUUUC
rnacentral:lncRNA from 1 species